rfam:TPA: Bos taurus chromosome 16, whole genome shotgun sequence.
UCCCUGAUGGCUUAGUUGGUAAAGAAUCCGCCUGCAAUGCAGGAGACCCUGGUUCGGUUCCUGGGUCGGGAA